AAGAAAACACGCUCCAAGAUCACCACCCCAUUGGGAAGAAACUAAAUCACGACCCCCAAAUGGUAGUCUUCCCAUGCAGAUACAGGGAUGUCACACAGAUCCAAAUGGAAACAUCGAACACAGUAAAACCCACGUGGCAGACAGGACCAAUGGUGACAAUAUAAGACCAUGCCGAGCUUCAUGGACGGUUCAAACUCAUCCUGCCCAGGAACGGCUGAAAACGUUGACAGUCAAUCAACAGGGGGACAUGGAAAGAGAGGAUUGGAAGUGAAAUAGAGGGUUUUCCGGGACAGCCAUAGGGGAAGGACUGUGGCAUCUUCAUGUUGAUGACUGAUAUGCCAACUCUGAGGAAGUGGCGGUG